rnacentral:rRNA from 1 species
CUGAGAAACGGCUACCACAUCUAAGGAAGGCAGCAGGCGCGUAACUUACCCACUCCCAGUUCAGGGAGGUAGUGACAAUAAAUACCUUACAGAGGUCUCGUUAACCGAGAUCUCUCAAACGGAAUGAGUACAACGUGAAUCCUUUAACGAGGAUCGACUGGAGGGCAAGCCUGGUGCCAGCAGCCGCGGUAAUUCCAGCUCCAGUAGCGUAUAUUAAAGCUGUUGCGGUUAAAAAGCUCGUAGUUGGAUAUCAGUGCGUGUCCGGUCCGGUAUGCCCGGCGCUGUCGCUCACGCGGCAAUGCUGGGCUCCCAAAUAUCGGCUGGCCGCAUUCAAUCGUGCCGGAUCCGUCGACGGGCCGUUCUUCGGAGGGGCCUGUUGGCGACCGGCGACGUUACCUUGAACAAAUUAGAGUGCUCAAAGCAGGCUCUGAAUGCCUGUAUACAUAUUCAUGGAAUUGGAGAAUACGUCCCUGGCUCGAUUUGGUUGGUUUUGAGAGUCGAAGGGAAAUGAUUAAUAGGGACUGACGGAGGCAUUCGUAUUGCGACGCGAGGGGUGAAAUCCUGUGACCGUCGCACGACGAACUACUGCGAAAGCAUUUGCCGAGAAUGUUUUCAUUAGUCAAGAACGAAAGUUAGAGGUUCGAAGGCGAUCAGAUACCGCCCUAGUUCUAACCGUAAACGAUGUCGACCAGCAAUCCGCAACGGUCACUACACGGACUGUGCGGGCAGCUUCCCCGGGGAAACCAGAGUGUAUGGACUCCGGGGGAAGUAUGGUUGCAAAGCUGAAACUUAAAGGAAUUGACGGAAGGGCACCACCAGGAGUGGAGCUUGCGGCUUAAUUUGACUCAACACGGGACAACUCACCAGGCCCGGACACCGUAAGGAUUGACAGACUGAUAGCUCUCUCUUGAUUCAGUGGGUGGUGGUGCAUGGCCGUUCUUAGUUGGUGGAGUGAUUUGUCUGGUUUAUUCCGAUAACGAACGAGACUCUGGCCUAUUAAACUUGACGCUGUCAGUCUCUUGUGACUGCGGCGCGCUUCUUAGAGGGAUCAUCGGCGUCCCAGCCGAAGGAAAGGGAGCAAUAACAGGUCUGUGAUGCCCUUAGAUGUUCUGGGCUGCACGCGUGUUACACUGAAGUGGUCAGCGCGCCGUUCAACGUCCCUCUCCGUGAGGAGCGGGCAAACGUUUGAACCCUUUUCGUGAUGGGAAUUGGGGGUUGCAAUUGUCCCCCAUGAACGAGGAAUUCCAAGUAAGCGCAGGUCACUAGCCUGCGUUGAUUAAGUCCCUGCCCUUUGUACACACCGCCCGUCGCUACUACCGAUGGAUGAUUUGGUGAGGUCGCCUAGAUUGGCUGCUGGCUUCGGCCGUGCGGCCGAGAAGACGCCCAAACUUGGUCGUCUAGAGGAAGUAAAAGUCGUAACAAGGUUUCC